rnacentral:lncRNA from 1 species
AUGUCCUUCUCUUGUAACAUCAAUAUUCCAGAGUAUAUUAAAAUACAGUUGUCCGCCCGGGGAAAUUGGCGUGAGAUAUUUUCAAAGACAGAAGGAGAUCUUCCCGAGGACAGUGGAAGUUGCUGUGGUGGUCGCGCCAUCCGAUGUUGCCGGCGGUGCCUCGGUGCUUGCCAGCCCUGCCGCGGGGCUGGCCGGGGCCAGGACCGGGACUGCCGGCACGAAACCCCCUCUGCCCUGGCCCGAAGAGGCAAAAAAGGCACUGCAACCAGCCUAUUAACUUCAAAUGGGCAGAGACGGCGAUAUAACCCAUCCCUUCACAGCUUACAAGGAACGAGAUUAAAAUUUAACCCUCCUGAAAGGAGCGCUGCUGAUGGAGGAGGAAGGCGAGCCGGAGAUAUGCAGAAAAUGCGAAGUUUACAGCCCUAAUGCCUCUGGUACCUGAAGGCACAGCGCCGGAGUGGGUAAUUCCUUUUACUAAUUACUUGACAACAAGCAGGUCAAAAAGAAAAUCUUGUAGGAAGGACUUCAGGAUCUGCAGGAGAGAAUAACAUUCCUGUGCUCCUUGCAUACCCGAAAAUCCUAACAUAAAUAUUGUGGAUGCUCUGCUCUCACCGGCAUUAAACACGUCUGCCCACAGGCAACGCCGCGGUUUGGUUUUAAAGGUUCUUCUACAUCUGGAAAAUUGCCCUGCGGGGUGUUGUUAUUUUUAAAAUAGUACAUGUUUUAGGGUAAAAUUUAAGUAUAGACGUUUCUUUGAAUCAACGAGGAGGAGAAAUCCCGCUUGUUGACAAAAGCUAAUUUUCAGCUAUUAGAGAAGUUUGUAACUUCAAAUAUUUUUCUUUCCUCUAUAAACGCUAUUGGCCUGCUUUCAUAGUUACUAAAAAAUUUAUCCGUGAGAUCGAAGGCUGAAAUCCGGCAUUCAUUUGGAGCUAACUCCUUUAGUAAAUACUUGCUCCUACCGCGCAGCGCCCUUUGCCCGCCGGGUCUCGCCGCCAGCCCGGCAGUGUGAUUCCUACCCUCCGAAGCGCUCAUUAAUGCCCAACCUGCGGCUGCGAGGCGCUUCUCAGCUACCCAUAAAACCUUUAAUGCCUCGAAGCGUCUUUAGGGACGCGCCUGUGGGCGCCCGGUGCCGGAGCGCCGCUCUGCCUAAUGCCUCCCUUCCUGAUCGCAUUACCGGCCGCUCCCCCGGCGCUAUUUAUGGGCAAUAAAAGCUCCCCAGCCCCGGCA